AUUCGGAGGGUGCAAGCGUUACUCGGAAUCACUGGGCGUAAAGCGCGCGCAGGCGGUCUUUUAAGUUGGAUGUGAAAGCCUACGGCUCAACCGUAGAACUGCAUCCAAAACUAUUAGACUAGAGUGUGGGAGAGGAAGAUGGAAUUAGUUGUGUAGGGGUAAAAUCCGUAGAGAUAACUAGGAAUACCAAAAGCGAAGGCAAUCUUCUGGAACACUACUGACGCUGAGGCGCGAAAGCGUGGGGAGCAAACAGGAUUAGAUACCCUAGUAGUCC
rnacentral:rRNA from 1 species